rnacentral:rRNA from 1 species
UGCGUGUCCUCUUCCCACGUGAUGGCGAGAGGUAGUAUCCUCCGGCUGACUCACGCCGAUCUUAUCCUAACCUCCGUGCGACCGUGCCGGCCCCGCAGCCAGCAGAUUCAUCCAUCCAAAUCCAACACACGUCGCCAAACAGCAGCACCCAGCCCGCCCCCGGUUUGCUCCCUUUCCCCUCCCCGUGAGAUCUCAUCCGAUCCCCCAUAAAUAAGCCCACCAAGGAAGAGAUCUCAUCCGAUCCCCCAUAAAUAAGCCCACCAAGGAAGGAAAUCAAAGCGCAUCGCAUAGUGGUUUCCAUCCAUCCAUCCAUCCCUUUCUCUCGUUGCUAGGCAGCUAGAUCUUGAUCUUGUUGUUGCAGGGCCGGCCAUGGACGGCGGGAAGAAGGGCGGCCGGGACCGCAAGCCGGCGCAGGAGCGCAGCGACCGCAAGUCGGGCACCGGGAUGAGCGGCGACGCCAAGAAGGGCGGCCGCGGCGGCAAGUUCACCUGGGAGGGCGCCGACGGCUACACCGACGAGGACCUCGACCUCGUCGCCAGCAAGGGCGCGGGGAGCGGCGCCUCCGCCUCCGGCAAGAACAAGUCCUAGGGUGAUGCCUCGCCCGCCCGUCGCCUUCCCGUCCGAUCGAUCGAUAGAUUUCUAAAUCGUGUGAGUUGAAUAAUUAAAUCGAGUCGUGGCGUGUUUGGCAUGUACAUAUGAUCUAUUUCCAGUCGUGGCCUUGCUAAUUAGGUGUCUGGAUCUCGCACUAAACUUGGGUUCAGCCUUGUCUUGUGUUUCUGUCAUCUUGGUCGUUCAUUCUGAGUUGAUUUCUGCUCAAUUUACUUACCGAUCGAUUUCCUACAAGGAGGAUUACCAUGAUUUCUGAACCAGCUGAGCAGAAGAUGAAGAAGAUCCAUAGGGAUCACUUCUUUCUUACCUUCGUCUGCCUACCUAGGCUGAUCCAUAGUUUAAAAAACCGGACCGACCUACAAUUUCAUAGAUAGCUUGGCUGGACAAAUCUCCAGUUACACAGUCUG